rnacentral:tRNA from 1 species
GAGGGUGUAGCUCAGUGGCAGAGAGUAUGCCUAGCAUGCACGAGGUCCUGGGUUCAAUCCCCAGUACCUCCA